GAGUUUGAUUCUGGCUCAGGACGAACGCUGGCGGCGUGCUUAACACAUGCAAGUCGAACGGAGCGAUUUAUUUCGGUAAAUCGCUUAGUGGCAAACGGGUGAGUAACGCGUAGGCAACCUGCCCUCGGGAUGGGGACAACGGCUCGAAAGAGCCGCUAAUACCGAAUGACGUAACUCUUCCACAUGGAAGAGAUACUAAAGAUGGGUCAAACCAUCGCCCGAGGAUGGGCCUGCGUCUGAUUAGCCAGUUGGUGAGGUAACGGCUCACCAAAGCAACGAUCAGUAGCCGGUCUGAGAGGAUGAACGGCCACAAUGGGACUGAGACACGGCCCAUACUCCUACGGGAGGCAGCAGUGGGGAAUCUUCCGCAAUGGGCGAAAGCCUGACGGAGCAACGCCGCGUGAGUGAAGAAGGUCUUCGGAUCGUAAAGCUCUGUUGUCGGGGACGAAAGGAAAGGGGAGGCAAUGCCCCUUCAAGACG
rnacentral:rRNA from 1 species